rnacentral:lncRNA from 1 species
ACUGACCAAAAAGGUGUAGGGCUACGAACCCUUACUUUCUAGAAUGCAACUCCGAGUUAAUUAUCGUCUUAAUCAACUAUCAACAAACUAUCUUGAGCCUGAAAAAUGGAUAGGAAGAGGGGUGAAAUUAUGAUUACAUAAUCCUAGUGAAUAAACAGACACCAUCUAAACUAUCUAAAGGGAGUAAAUGGAGACGAAUUAAAAUAUUCUUUUCCAAUAUAUGUUUCAUAACAUAAAUAUUCAAUUUACUCAAUUAAUCAAUAUGGCUUAUAUAUCUCACAAAACUUGGCUCCUGCCAAAAUCAUUCCUGAGUAUGCCUUGGCCUAGGCAUCUGACCGAGACCACCAAGGCUAUUAAAUAUCUUUACAUCCGAAAUUCUAGCCAUGCCUUGGCGUUGGCUGAGUCUCACUCUCACGCGGUGGUCCACGUAAAGUGCACUCAAAAGCCCAACUCAGGAGAUACCCUACGCACCUCUACGACCGAUGUGAGAAUAUAAAGGAGUUUAUCGUGCCCCUCUAAUAAGCUGGUCCACAGAACCCUGCCACUGCAGUAGCUAAUCUUUAUUUUAUCUACCACCUGAUUUAUAAAAUCCUUAUCUGCAUGAUAUGGCAAUUUAUCGCAAUCUAACCUCUCAAGGCUGAAUACAUAGUAUAUAUAAUUUUAGAUACAAAUAUCGACUUUGCCAUUCAUGCUCACAUAUUGUUAUAAGCCAUAUAUUUUAAAACACAAUUUAUAACACAAGUAGGCAGUUCCAAUCACUCUAUUUUCAAAACCAAUAUUCAAUUUUCCAGAAAAUCUAUAAAAUCAUUUUAUAAAAUCAUAAUUUCUCCUAAAACAUAGCAAUUUACCUUUUAAACCCAUUUUUCAUAAAAUCAUACAAUUGUAUAAAACUACUCUAGAUAAUUAAGACAAUAAUAAGUUUACUCACAGUUUUAGGAGUCGAUAUACUCUUAAUCCCAGUCUUCAAGCAC